rnacentral:ribozyme from 13 species
AAUGGAUAAGAUAAAGAUGAAGAAGAAGAAGAAGAUAAAGAAGAAGGAGGAGGGUCUGUUUUCUCACUAUUUCCUUCUCUUUGGUGGCUUUCUUCUUGUUCUUCUUCUUCUUCUUUU